GAUCAUGCAAAAAUUCUGCAACAUCAUGUGAUAAUUUUAAAGUUUGCUCUAUCAGGAUGUAUGCCAAUUUAGCACCUAGAACAACAUUUCAAGAAUAUCUAACCUAUAUUUCUAUUGAAAGAUAGAUACUUUUAUUGGAGCAUGAAAUUAUAAUGCCCAAAAAGUAUUUAAAUGUGUUGAGAUCUUUGAUUCGAAAUUGAUCUUGAAGGGAGGAUUUAGUGAAACCAAUG
rnacentral:lncRNA from 1 species